CCUACGGGUGGCUGCAGUGGGGAAUAUUGGACAAUGGGGGGAACCCUGAUCCAGCCAUGCCGCGUGUGUGAAGAAGGCCCUCGGGUUGUAAAGCACUUUCAGUGAGGAAGAACGCCUGGUGGUUAAUACCCAUCAGGAAAGACAUCACUCACAGAAGAAGCACCGGCUAACUCCGUGCCAGCAGCCGCGGUAAUACGGAGGGUGCGAGCGUUAAUCGGAAUUACUGGGCGUAAAGCGCGCGUAGGUGGCUUGAUAAGCCGGUUGUGAAAGCCCCGGGCUCAACCUGGGAACGGCAUCCGGAACUGUCAAGCUAGAGUGCAGGAGAGGAAGGUAGAAUUCCCGGUGUAGCGGUGAAAUGCGUAGAGAUCGGGAGGAAUACCAGUGGUGAAGGCGGCCUUCUGGACUGACACUGACACUGAGGUGCGAAAGCGUGGGUAGCAAACAGGAUUAGAUACCCCGGUAGUC
rnacentral:rRNA from 1 species